UCUUCUGUCCUUCAUCUUUCUUCUGUGCUGGAUGCUUCCUGCCCUCAAACUUCAGACUCCAAGUUCUCCAGCUUUUGGUUUCUUGGACUCACACCAGUGAUUUGCCAGGGACUCUCGGGCUUACUACCACAGACUGAAGGCUGCACUGUUGGCUUCCCUACUUUUGAGGUUUGGGGGCUGGCUUCCUAGUUUCUCAGCUUGUGGAUGACCUACUGUGGGGCUUCACCUUGUAAUCAGGUGGUGAGAAAACAACCUGAACCUGGCUGAGCUAGGGAACAAAAAAUUCCUGCAUCGUUGUUCUAUAACAUUCUUCUUUCUUUGGACCCAGGAAUCCCAAGAGAGCUUGCUUCCUCUAUCUGCCAUUUGAGGACACCACUAGGAGACAAGCAUCUAAGAACCAGGAGAGUAUUAGGCCAUUCUUGCAUUGCUAUAAAAAAAAUACCUGAGACUGUGUAAUUUAUUUUUUUAAAAAAAGGUUUAAUUGGCUCAUGUUUCUUCAGGCUAUGUAACAAGCAUGGCACUGGCAUCUGCCCAGCUCCUGGGGACACCUUAAGGAACUUUGACUCAUGUCAGAAGGUGAAGUGACAGCAGGCACUUCAGAUGCCAAAAGCAGGAGCAAAGAGGGGCUGUGGAAGGUGCCAUAUACUUUUAAAUUGGCAGAUCUCAUGAGGACUCAGAGGGAGAGCUCACUUAUCACCAAGGGGAUGGCCCAAGCCAUUCAUGAGAAAUCCGCCCCCAUGAUCUCAACACCUCCCA